GUUUAUUCCAAGGGAUUUGUGAAGUGGGCCCCAUAAACGCUAAAAAGUCUUACAGACGGAAGGAUUAUUACUGUAUGUGUGUUUAUGCUUGGUUGAAGGAUUUCACUGUACACAUACACGCACGCAUAGUCUCUUUCUCUCUCACACACACACCUGCUUUCUCGCUCACUCUGACCCAUCACACUCUUUCUUUUUGAGUCCUACUCCCUAUUUUUUGUUUAACGUUUCUUGUGUUUCUUUUAUACUAUAUAAAGCGUCUUUGUGUCAUUAAAAAUCGGUAUAAAUAGGCUACCAUAUAUUAAAUAUGACGUUUUGACGUCACUUGUUUAUGUUGUACUUCUGGAUGGAAUUGAGUGAUUGCGAGUCCAGCACAGUGCCAAAAGUAGACUAGCCUUGUUCCAGACAUGUAGAUUUUAGGCCUCUGUUGGACAGAAGCAACGGUGUUUUCCCCUUCAGAAAUUGAAACACAAAGACAUACCUACUGAUUCAUAAUAUGACAUAACGGCUUGACAUUGACAUCCACUUCAGCUCUGUCUGUGCAUAAAAACGCCGGCGGGCACAGAUGCGCCGAUUGUAAUGUCGCGCCAAUGGAGAGACGCACUUUUCUCUGUUAACAUUUGCUCGGUGUAGGUAUUGCAGCAGGCUGCAUCUUUGAAACUCUUGACAUUAUAGGAAUUCAGUAUUUAUUCAGGCCAUUGGUCUGAUUUUAUCAGUAAAGUUACUCUCAUCAAAUAAAAUAAACGCAUGAAGAGGAACAACUUUAUGCACAGCACAGCUGCUACCACAAUGAAGAUAAUUCUACUCAUUAUGGUAUUUUCCCUCGUUAUGGCAUCUGUCCUCAGCCAAAAAAUACAUUUUGAUGGCAGUUGGAGAGAAGACAAUGAUACGAGGAAAUUGCAACUAUCUGAGCAAUACAAAGAAAUCCUGAAAAGAAUGACUCGAAAACCUGAGUCACGCCAAUUCUUUGAUCUUAUGGGGAAAAGAGGCUCUGAAAAAUCCCAGGUAAUAAGACCAUGCAUUGGUACUGACCAUUUCAACUCAAUUUUACUGAGGCUACUAUUAUGA
rnacentral:lncRNA from 1 species